GCGAUCAUACGAGCACUAAUGCCCCGGAUCCCAUCAGAACUCCGCAGUUAAACGUGCUUGGGCGAGAGUAGUACUAGGAUGGGUGACCUCCUAGGAAGUCCUCAUGUUGCACCCC
rnacentral:rRNA from 1 species